rnacentral:piRNA from 1 species
CCCAAAGUGGUUUGCUCUGGAUCAGCUGC